UACGAAGGGGGCUAGCGUUGCUCGGAAUGACUGGGCGUAAAGGGCGCGUAGGCGGAUGGCACAGUCAGAUGUGAAAUUCCCGGGCUUAACCUGGGGGCUGCAUUUGAUACGUGUUGUCUUGAGUUCGGAAGAGGGUCGUGGAAUUCCCAGUGUAGAGGUGAAAUUCGUAGAUAUUGGGAAGAACACCGGUGGCGAAGGCGGCGACCUGGUCCGACACUGACGCUGAGGAGCGAAAGUGUGGGGAGCGAACAGG
rnacentral:rRNA from 1 species